rnacentral:rRNA from 1 species
UACAGGGGGUGCAAGCGUUGUUCGGAAUUACUGGGCGUAAAGGGCGCGUAGGCGGCCUGUUAAGUCAGAUGUGAAAGCCUCGAGCCUAACUCGAGAUGUGCAUUUGAAACUAUCAGGCUAGAGUGCAGUAGGGAUUAGCGGAAUACCCAGUGUAGAGGUGAAAUUCGUAGAUAUUGGGUAGAACACCGGUGGCGAAGGCGGCUAAUUGGGCUGCAACUGACGCUGAGGCGCGAAGGCGUGGGGAGCAAACAGG